AUGCAAGUAGAACGCUGAAGGAGGAGCUUGCUCUCUCUGGAUGAGUUGCGAACGGGUGAGUAACGCGUAGGUAACCUGCCUGGUAGCGGGGGAUAACUAUUGGAAACGAUAGUUAAUACCGCAUAACAGUAGAUGUUGCAUGACAUUUGCUUAAAAGGUGCAAUUGCAUCACUACCAGAUGGACCUGCGUUGUAUUAGCUAGUUGGUGGGGUAACGGCUCACCAAGGCGACGAUACAUAGCCGACCUGAGAGGGUGAUCGGCCACACUGGGACUGAGACACGGCCCAAACUCCUACGGGAGGCAGCAGUAGGGAAUCUUCGGCAAUGGACGGAAGUCUGACCGAGCAAUGCCGCGUGAGUGAAGAAGGUUUUCGGAUCGUAAAGCUCUGUUGUAAGAGAAGAACGAGUGUGAGAGUGGAAAGUUCACACUGUGACGGUAUCUUACCAGAAAGGGACGGCUAACUACGUGCCAGCAGCCGCGGUAAUACGUAGGUCCCGAGCGUUGUCCGGAUUUAUUGGGCGUAAAGCGAGCGCAGGCGGUUAGAUAAGUCUGAAGUUAAAGGCUGUGGCUUAACCAUAGUACGCUUUGGAAACUGUUUAACUUGAGUGCAAGAGGGGAGAGUGGAAUUCCAUGUGUAGCGGUGAAAUGCGUAGAUAUAUGGAGGAACACCGGUGGCGAAAGCGGCUCUCUGGCUUGUAACUGACGCUGAGGCUCGAAAGCGUGGGGAGCAAACAGGAUUAGAUACCCUGGUAGUCCACGCCGUAAACGAUGAGUGCUAGGUGUUAGACCCUUUCCGGGGUUUAGUGCCGUAGCUAACGCAUUAAGCACUCCGCCUGGGGAGUACGACCGCAAGGUUGAAACUCAAAGGAAUUGACGGGGGCCCGCACAAGCGG
rnacentral:rRNA from 1 species